UACGUAGGUGGCAAGCGUUGUCCGGAAUUAUUGGGCGUAAAGCGCGCGCAGGCGGUCCUUUAAGUCUGAUGUGAAAGCCCACGGCUCAACCGUGGAGGGUCAUUGGAAACUGGGGGACUUGAGUACAGAAGAGAAGAGUGGAAUUCCACGUGUAGCGGUGAAAUGCGUAGAGAUGUGGAGGAACACCAGUGGCGAAGGCGGGUCUCGGGGCCGUAACUGACGCUGAGGAGCGAAAGCGUGGGGAGCGAACAGG
rnacentral:rRNA from 1 species